rnacentral:rRNA from 1 species
GAUUAUGGCUCAGGAUGAACGCUGGCGGCGUGCUUAAUACAUGCAAGUCGAACGAAGACAUCUCGCCGAAGCUUGCUUCAUUGAGAUAUCUUAGUGGCGGACGGGUGAGUAACGCGUGGGUAACCUGCCUUACACAGGGGGAUAACAGUUAGAAAUGACUGCUAAUACCGCAUAAGCGCACAUUAUCGCAUGAUAGAAUGUGAAAAGAUUUUAUCGGUGUAAGAUGGACCCGCGUCUGAUUAGCUAGUUGGUGAGGUAACGGCCCACCAAGGCGACGAUCAGUAGCCGGCCUGAGAGGGUGAACGGCCACAUUGGGACUGAGACACGGCCCAAACUCCUACGGGAGGCAGCAGUAGGGAAUAUUGGACAAUGGGGGAAACCCUGAUCCAGCCGACGCCGCGUGAGUGAAGAAGUAUUUCGGUACGUAAAGCUCUAUCAGCAGGGAAGAAAAUGACGGUACCUGACUAAGAAGCACCGGCUAAAUACGUGCCAGCAGCUGC